rnacentral:lncRNA from 1 species
GUUUUAUGUCAUAAACCUUGUAGGUGUUCUUAGAACUUUAUCAAACCUUAAAUGUAAAACAGUUAAUUUGUGAUCGUCUGCUGUGUAGAGACCAAAACAGAAGGCAGGCCAGAAGUUGACUGUGACCACAUGGAAAGCUGUAAUUGGAUACAGCUGCAGUAGUACAGAAACAUUCCUGAGGUCCUAUCUUCUGCGUAGACAACAAGAGCUAUGCUAAGGAGUCUGCUUUGUUACUCCGCUUCACAUCUGAAGAAAGUCUACACUCAAACUUGUGUGUUUUCUCCAGCAUAUAGCCAUAAAGCUCUUGCUCCUAAAACUUAGCAGAGAGGAAUACUGUGGUCUUUACUCCAAUGCAUGAGGUCUUUACUGAGAAGAUGUUUUGGAAGGAACAUACCACAACAGAAGGGUAAGAACUGCCAUGACAGAUCUUUAUUCUGACCUGGGAUGGCUAUUAUUGUUUGUAUUACCUUCAAGCAAGUUUUAAAAUGUUAUGUUUAAUAUCUGAUUGUUAGCAUUCAAUGGACAAAGUAACAUUAAUUAGCACAAUUUAAGUAGCAUGGUCUCACCUAAAUAUUACCACUAUAGUAAUAUGUGCCCAAAUUCAAGUUAAGAAAACAAAAGAAGGAUAAUUAGCUUGGCAAGAUAAACCUUUAACACCUAUUUGCAGCUAAGAGGAUGUAUGUGUACCGGAUCUUUGUAUGAACAGGUAGCUAUACUACAGUAGCUAAAUUGUUAUUUAAUAUACAAAUAAAAAUAAAAAUUCUGAUGUUCCUAUCA